AUGAGAUUAACUAAGUUAUCUGCUGAUAGAGGAUUGAAAGCUUUAGACUAGCUAAUGUUACCUAAUGUUAUUUUCAUUAGCCAGCUUGUUCACUGUUGACACACUCUGUAUGCACUGUCUAUUUUAUAGUGAAUAGAGAAUGCUGCAGAUAAUUAGAGGAAUAGUUUCACAGUUGGUAACGUUGGCAGGAGAGAGGACUAGAGACUGGAGAUGGAAUGAAAGUGAAGAGAGAACAAUGCAGUGGGUAGCAAAGCAGCAGAACUGAGG